rnacentral:tRNA from 1 species
GCGAGCAUAGCUCAAUGGCAGAGCAUCCGGCUUAUAUCCGGACGGUCGAUGGUUCGAUCCCAUCUGCUCGCACCA